UUACCAGUUCUUCAGGUCAUUAAUUGUUAUUUGAAUGUUUUUUCUGGAAGUCUGCCAUACCAAUGGAAACGCUGAAGAGGACGACCAAGCGUAUAGUCAACUCGUCUUUACCAGAACUUAAUCUUAACGUUCCCAACAGGAGGGCCCAGAUCACCAAUGAAGAGGACCAACUGACAUAGUGGAUCGCUGCGGUACAUCAAGAACCGUCUCCCUACAUUGAGGAUCGCCACCAAGCCCCGAGAUUUACACGAGUUAAGACAAACAAAAAUGAAGAUGGUGCAGUUGAGUAUUGCCACAUCGGCAUUCGCUUACUUCCUUCAUUUUGUGAUUUGCGUGUCCUACAAUUGUUCCUUACUGCUUUUCUCCCUUCUAGCUUUAUGGCUUAUGAAGUUAUGAUAAGCUCAUGGUGCAUUUAUCUUGCACUAACAACUCAUAUUCACUGCACUAUUCCUCACGCUUCUUUUAUUAUUGAUGCACCAGUAGGGACGCUUGUGUUACCAGUUGGACUCGGCCUCGCGUUGAUUGGGUCGGUUUUUUACUGAUCGUGCGGGUCAUUUUGGUUUUUAGUCCCUGGACACAAUCCACCCAUGGAGAAAUACCGCCCCGAUCUGCCAUUUUGUGGGCAGGGCAGCCCGAUUAUAGUCGAUCGGGGCUGAGCUAUAGUUACCAGUAGACUACUUCUCUAGCUGGGUGGGUUGGGAUGGUUUUUAUGGGUAAACCAAGUCACCCCACCACAAUUUUUUCAAACUGCAUAUUAAAUGGCGCUAAUUUUAAAAAGAAAGAAAAUAAACAAAACUGCAUUAUGAAAAACUUAAA
rnacentral:lncRNA from 1 species